CGCUAGCGUAACCUGUCCUCCCAGUUUCUCUGAAGUGCUGAACCGGCAGUGACCUGGCCUCACCUUCUGCCAUGGCAGGGACGGGGGACUGGAGGCCUGAUGGCCGUCUCUGUCACCCUGAUGUUGGGCACCAAAGUUGGAUGCAUGAAACCAGGCAGCAUGACAAACAUCCCCAAGGAAGACAGGUGCUUUGCAUCAAGAACAACGCUAUGACACCAGGCUCUCCUGAAAGGGACAUGGGACUGGAGUUAUGCUCUUCAGUGCCACCCAGGCAGAAGACAGCACAUGCUGUUCCCUGGAGCCUCAUACCUGCGGAUUAGUUGGCGAGUACAUCCAUGGCCAGCGGCAUCUGCUGAAGACAAUAGCUAGGAGGUAAGUUCUUCCUGCCUUUUCUUCUGCAGGAGCAUUCAUAGUGUUAAUUUUCUCUAUGUGCUGCUCUAUUUUUAUGAAAAUUAGAGAAGCUUCAUUUUUUGAAGAUCUUUAUGCCAGCUUGCUAGCUUUGGUUGAAGCUAUUAGGGGUGCUAAAGGUCUUGCAGGAGGACUGGCACACAAUGUGAUCAUAUCAGCCUUGUUUCCCCAGGAAAACAGGUUAAAAGAUUUCUCCUUGCCUGUAAUUGGAAGCUGCCAGUUUGAAAAGCUGCCAGAGUCUGUCUGACAAAAGAAGACCUCUCUGUGUUUCCCCUUGCAAUUGCUUUCCCAUGGAGCCUAAAGGCGAACUGUUAAGGCCAUUGAUCUCCCUGCAAACAACAUAUUUGCAGCAGUGGCAGGAAAUCUCUGUGGGGAUGAAGUGUACAGGAAUGACACACACUGACUGCUUAUUACACUGAUCUGGUACUAACUGGUCCCUAAGUGAAGAGGAGUCACCAAAACUUAGCUACAGGCCAUUUGACAUAUUUUAAUUAGUCACUCCGAAAAAGUCAGCCACUCAGAAGUUAGAAAAGGGUAUUAGGAUGGCACAUCACAACUUCGUUCCAGCUCCCUUGCAAGUUCAUCCAGUUUUUAAACAGAACCCUUUCUUUAAUCUUUAGAUGAGCACUUAAUGCCAAGUCAACGUGACAGCCUGCUUCUUUCUAAUUAUUUGGUGACUGAUCCCAUUCUCUGUUUUCAGCCCAAGAUUGAAAGGCUGAUCUGAGACAGAGCUAUUCAUUCCUUCACGUUCUGGUGAAUGGCAUUGCUCAGUCCACUGCCUCGUGCUGCACCAGCAUUAAUCCUCACUACCCCCCAUGAAGCUGGGGACUGGGAUUGUGAUUGCCUUAUGGAUAAGGAACUAUAGCUCCUAAAAUUAAAGUCACAGCUCUCUGUUGGUUUUGAAUGUCCAUCUGCCCAGGUUCUGACUCUCCAGAAAAAUCCUACGUUACUGUCAGUAGUACUGACAAAGCUCUCAUGCUGUAGUUGCAGUAACAAAUGAUGGACAUAUCUGUAACUUGACCAAGGAGGAUCUCCAGUCAGUUAGCAGAAAUCUAGGGAGUGAUUAGCUAGCUGCUGUCUCUGAAAAAGGUGUUGUAAGAAACCUAAGUAAGAGUGGCAGUGAUGGCAGCUGUAGGACCAAGUUGCUAUUCUCUCAGAGAUGCUUUCCAUUCUCCCAGAGAUGCUUUCCAUUGCCUGGACUGUAAGGUCACUCUUUAUCUUCCUGUGGGCUCUGUCUCACUCUACAGCAAAGAAUAGGUCCCACAGAACAGUUUCUAUCCCUAUGCAACCCUUUUUGUUCAAACAUUAACGCUAAGCUCAUCCAUCCAGUACACCCGAUGAAAUACUGCAUUUCAGGACAAAUAUGUUCAUUUUCAAACCAAUUUCAUUACUGGGUUGACAACCUGGUCCCAAAAACAUUGUCCUGACACAAUUUGGGAAUAAAAAAAAACUGUUGCAGAGAUGCGGUUCUUGA
rnacentral:lncRNA from 1 species